rnacentral:lncRNA from 1 species
AGGCCUUGCUAAUGCGACCGGCUGGACCGCAACGCCAGGCUCGAGCUUCUGCGGUGCUUCUGCCUGCAUCAGGAGCAACCCCGCGGCCGGUGGUCAGAGCUGAAGUCUGAGAAGCUACGGUGAGCCCAUGUCUGUGGUGACUGCAGUCAUUGUUUGAAGAUGACCUAGACCAGCUCUGGAAACCGGCGGAUGUGUCAGCACCUGAGAGGGGCAGUGGAGGAGAGGAGAGGAGAGCACAUUGCCGAGAAAAGCUGCUUACAAAAGUCACCACUGGACAGAUAAACAGUAAGCAAAUCUGCCCUUGUUCCCCACCCUAAGGAGAAAGCAUUGUAUCUUCUCCAUUCAUAUAAGGUGUUCUCGCUGGAAGUAUGGAGUACAUGUCUUUAAUCUGUUGAGAAGGUUCUGUUCUACUUCUAGUCUCCUGAGAGCUUUUACCAUGAACAGCUGUGGAAUUUAGUCCAAUACUUUUUCUCCAACUAGUGACGGGAUCACAUGACUUUUUCCUUUUCUCUGUUAAAAUGAUGACUUUUGGGGGUGGAUCUUCCAAUGCUGAACCAACACUGGCAUCCCUAUAACAAAAUCACUUUCUACAUCCUGCCAGAUCUGACUUCUAAUAGUUUGUUUUGUUAAACAAAUUUCUAUCUAUGUUCAUACUUUUUUCUUCUAUUAUCUUUAUCCAGUUUUAGGAUCAGCACAAU